UACGUAGGGGGCAAGCGUUGUCCGGAAUCAUUGGGCGUAAAGCGCGUGUAGGCGGCUCGAUAAGUCUGCUGUGAAAGUCCAGGGCCCAACCCUGGGAUGCCGGUGGAUACUGUCGAGCUCGAGUCCGGAAGAGGCGAGUGGAAUUCCUGGUGUAGCGGUGAAAUGCGCAGAUAUCAGGAGGAACACCAAUGGCGAAGGCAGCUCGCUGGGACGGUACUGACGCUGAGACGCGAAAGCGUGGGGAGCAAACAGG
rnacentral:rRNA from 1 species